UACGUAGGGAGCAAGCGUUGUCCGGAAUUAUUGGGCGUAAAGCGCGCGUAGGCGGUCCGGUAAGUCUGCUGUGAAAGUCGGGGGCUCAACCCUCGGAUGCCGGUGGAUACUGUCGGGCUUGAGUGCGGAAGAGGCGAGUGGAAUUCCUGGUGUAGCGGUGAAAUGCGCAGAUAUCAGGAGGAACACCAAUUGCGAAGGCAGCUCGCUGGGACGUUACUGACGCUGAUGCGCGAAAGCGUGGGGAGCAAACAGG
rnacentral:rRNA from 1 species